GAUGAACGCUAGCUACAGGCUUAACACAUGCAAGUCGAGGGGAAACGAUAUUGGAAGCUUGCUUCCGAUAGGCGUCGACCGGCGCACGGGUGAGUAACGCGUAUCCAACCUGCCCAUCACUUGGGGAUAACCUUGCGAAAGUAAGACUAAUACCCAAUGAUAUCAGUCGAAGACAUCUGAAGGGGAUUAAAGAUUCAUCGGUGAUGGAUGGGGAUGCGUCUGAUUAGCUUGUUGGCGGGGUAACGGCCCACCAAGGCAACGAUCAGUAGGGGUUCUGAGAGGAAGGUCCCCCACAUUGGAACUGAGACACAGUCCAAACUCCUACGGGAGGCAGCAGUGAGGAAUAUUGGUCAAUGGACGAGAGUCUGAACCAGCCAAGUAGCGUGCAGGAUGACGGCCCUAUGGGUUGUAAACUGCUUUUAUAAGGGAAUAAAGUGGGAGUCGUGACUCCUUUUGCAUGUACCUUAUGAAUAAGGACCGGCUAAUUCCGUGCCAGCCGCCGCGGUAA
rnacentral:rRNA from 1 species